rnacentral:tRNA from 1 species
GCGCGAGUGGCGAAAUGGUAGACGCGCUGGCUUCAGGUGUCAGUGUCCUUUGGGACGUGCGGGUUCAAGUCCCGCCUCGCGCA